CUCAGGAUGAACGCUAGCGGCAGGCUUAACACAUGCAAGUCGAGGGGCAGCGCGUUGUAGCAAUACAAUGGCGGCGACCGGCGGAAGGGUGCGUAACGCGUGAGCAACUUGCCCGUCACAGGGGGGAUAACCGGUGGAAACGCCGACUAAUACCGCGUAACGCCUCAUGGGGGCAUCCCCAAGAGGCCAAAGGGUUUCCGGGAGCGGAUGGGCAUGCGUGACAUUAGCUAGUUGGCGGGGUAACGGCCCACCAAGGCGACGAUCAGUAGGGGUUCUGAGAGGAAGGUCCCCCACAUUGGAACUGAGACACGGUCCAAACUCCUACGGGAGGCAGCAGUGAGGAAUAUUGGUCAAUGGACGAGAGUCUGAACCAGCCAAGUAGCGUGCAGGACGACGGCCCUAUGGGUUGUAAACUGCUUUUAUAAGGGAAUAAAGUGAGUCUCGUGAGACUUUUUGCAUGUACCUUAUGAAUAAGGACCGGCUAAUUCCGUG
rnacentral:rRNA from 1 species